UACGGAGGGGGUUAGCGUUGUUCGGAAUUACUGGGCGUAAAGCGCACGUAGGCGGAUAUUUAAGUCAGGGGUGAAAUCCCAGAGCUCAACUCUGGAACUGCCUCUGAUACUGGGUAUCUUGAGUAUGGAAGAGGUGAGUGGAAUUGCGAGUGUAGAGGUGAAAUUCGUAGAUAUUCGCAGGAACACCAGUGGCGAAGGCGGCUCACUGGUCCAUAACUGACGCUGAGGUGCGAAAGCGUGGGGAGCAAACAGG
rnacentral:rRNA from 1 species